GAUGAACGCUGGCGGCGUGCCUAAUACAUGCAAGUCGAGCGAACAGACUAGGAGCUUGCUCCUCUGACGUUAGCGGCGGACGGGUGAGUAACACGUGGAAAACCUACCUAUAAGACUGGGAUAACUUCGGGAAACCGGAGCUAAUACCGGAUAACAUGUUGAACCGCAUGGUUCAACAGUGAAAGACGGUCUUGCUGUCACUCAUAGAUGGAUCCGCGCCGCAUUAGCUAGUUGGUAAGGUAACGGCUUACCAAGGCAACGAUGCGUAGCCGACCUGAGAGGGUGAUCGGCCACACUGGAACUGAGACACGGUCCAGACUCCUACGGGAGGCAGCAGUAGGGAAUCUUCCGCAAUGGGCGAAAGCCUGACGGAGCAACGCCGCGUGAGUGAAGAAGGUCUUCGGAUCGUAAAACUCUGUUAUUAGGGAAGAACAAAUGUGUAAGUAACUAUGCACGUCUUGACGGUACCUAAUCAGAAAGCCACGGCUAACUACGUG
rnacentral:rRNA from 1 species